UGAAGGGAUAAGAGUAUUAUUGUUGUCUUUCCACGUUAUUACGAAAGAUUUUCUAUUUUUUAAUUCUUUCAUUUGAGAUCUCACCAACAGAGUUAGAAGAGGCAAACAAACAGAGGUAAAAACAUAAAGUUGCGGAAAGUAGGAGUAAAAUCUCAAUUAACUUUUAGAGUCGGGUAAAAACACCAAUUCCCCUAAAAAUUUCUAGCCGGAGAUCAGCAACCCAUCUUCUCCCGAGUCCCAACGGUCAAAAGCAAUGGAUGUCACCGCCGGCCUCCCUCCCCCAACCGCCCACCCCGCAUGGCCCCUCCCUCUCCGAGGCACGGAUGGCUACUACUUCACGAGGGCGGAGCUCCGGCGGCUUGCACUGCUCCAUCUGACGCGGCGGGGCGUCCACAUCUGCCGGGGAGUGACAAGACGCUGCCGCCCGCCAGGUGUUCGACGAUGAAAUAUGAUGGUGCCUCCAGAGGAAGUGAUGAAGAGGGUGUGGGUUCAUUCAUCAUAGCUUGCAAGACACCCCAUGCUUCUUUCGCAAGAUCAGGGCGCUCCUUUCUCUCAUACCGACAACAUUUCAGAGCUAGGCUUGCCAACUCUUCAGCGAACCCAGGAGGCCAGUUCCCUGCUGAGGUGUCAAGUAUUUCAUGCAAGACUCCACUGUUCAAGGCUGCCUCUACCUCAUUCUGAAGGCCUAGGGGGCUCUUGCCAGUUAGCAAACGCAGCAGUACAACUCCGAAAGAGUAGACAUCAUACUGCGCUGUGAGCUCCCCUGAAGAUAUGUACCCUGGAUCCAUGUACCCUAGUGUGCCUUUUAUUUGGUCUGUUCUGUGGUAAGGGGUGAUAGUGGUGUUUGUCAGAUUUAAGGAACGAGAAAUACCAAAGUCCCCUAGCUUGCCUACAAAGUUAGCGUCAAGGAGGACGUUGUCAGGUUUCAGAUCACCAUGGGCAAUGCUUUUUGGUUUGUUGGAGUGGAGGAAGAUAAGCGCUGUGCAGAUGUCAGCUGCAAUUCUGAUGCGCAUUCGCCAUGGGAGUGGCUCGGUGUGGUCCUUGCACUGGAGGCGGUCCUCUAGGCUUCCGUUUGGCAAGAAUUCAUAAACCAGCAUUUUGGGAUCUCUGCACACUCCUAUGAGAAUGACAAGAGCUGACUACUGAAGCAGGUAAUGGUGAUCCAUCCAUACUGUCCGAAUCCUUUAGACUUGAUGAGGAGGACCCUUCAUUGCUUGGGUGGCUGGAGUUCGGAGAGAAAUUUCUUGGUUUCACAUGUAUUGAGUGCUGCGUUAUAUGCAACAUCCUCUCCACAUUGUUUGCUAUCAAUACUGGCGAGGGGUAACUAACUGAAUUUGACCGUCGAGGAAGGAAUGGUUGAUCAGGAGAGCCCAUGUAACCAGGAUGCCCUGGUGGCAGCGACACUGAUCUUGCAGUUUGCCCAAAAAAUAAUGGUGGGUCGUUGCUUGAGUUGCGAUUGUUAUAUAAUUGGCUUCAUGCUGCACGGACACAUGAAGGGUUCAUACCUAGUGCAAGCAAGGGAGCCUUUGCAAAUGAAGAAUAUCUGGCAAUAAGGUUUGGCCUGUUGAUGCACGAUGGCUGCAACUUUUGACUUGGGCUGGAGGACAUGCAGCAGGCCAAGGUUGAGAUCACUGCCGAGGAGCCCGAGGUUCUGAGCCGCGCUGAGGAUGGACUUGCCGUCCUUGAAGUCCUUCCCAACGGCCACAUAAACCUUCCCACCGCCAUCAUUGUCGACCA